rnacentral:lncRNA from 1 species
UAGCAAGCAUAAGACACCAAGACAACUUUUGGAACAAAAAGAACUUUAAAUUCAAGGUAAACGUAAAGGUCCAAUUUGUAAUGAGACCAUUGUGUACAACAUGGUAUCCUCUGCUAUUUAAUUUCAACAAUCUUCAAAAUAGUUUGAUGGUUUCUACACUCAAAAAAAAAAAAAGUCCUGAAACUUGCCUGUUUGUGAAAUUUCAAAGUCAUACCACAAAAUAUCUAAGAGAGUUUAAAAUCUUCCAAGUUUACACAAGGACUUGGUUCACUGUCUGCAACUUAACUUAAAAAUCACAUCUUCUGGUGAAAGCCUGCUUUGAAACCAUCAAUGUGAUGUUUGAACUGAAUAUGUAAAUGCACACAUCACUUCCCAGUUCAGUCAUAGACUCCCUCUUCAUAGCAAAAUGUAUACCAGUGAUUUCUGACUAUAUCUCCACUCUCUACUGGACACAUCAAAAAGGAGGGAGGAAGCAGAGGAGGGGACAGACAGACAGAGAACUGAAAGCUACUGCCACAUAAGCGUCUUUUCACUUUCAGAAGGGAGCGAGCAGAAUGGCUGCCCUUACUCCUUAGGCUUAUCACAGAACAAUUUCACUUCCUACACGUGAAAUUUUAAGACUGGCAAGAUUCUCAAUUUUAGUAGUAAAGAAUCAACAAAGAAACAUUUUGUGUGUUAACCAAACCCAAGGUCUGGAUACUAAAAGCAAAACAAAACAAAACAAAAUAAAACAAAACAGGGUUUACAGCUUAUUUUCCUGAUACAACACUCCUUUUUUCUAUAAUGUACUUAAAAAUGAUAACAAAUGACCACAAUGCAGCAACCUCCCCUGCCAGUGUGUAUUACAGCAUUUCACAGAGACAAGCACACAGUCCCAGUCUCUGGUCAAGAGGCACUGUAACUGUCAAGCUCAUUGCAGCCUUACCCGAAGCCCCCAGGGGAGGGAUAUAACAUAAGUGUCCAUCAGCAGUGAACAACAGAUUUGUAAAAAUAUGGUACUUUAAUAUAUUUCUAUUCUUAUAUAAAUAGAAGCUAUUGAUCACAUUAAAAAUUUCAUCAUGGUAAAACAUCCACAAAAGUUACUGUUUAGACAUUUUGAAGUUACCUACCACUCAAUAGGAUAAAGUUUAUCCAGACUGUUGUGCAACCAGUAACUCAGCACACAAUCUAUUUCCAGAGUUUUCCAUCUUUCCAAACUGGGUCCCUUAAAUAACUCUUCCAUCCCAUUAUGGUGUAAUCCCCUUCCCAAUGUCAUCUGAACGGUUAUGAAGUAGUACACUGAGGUUUUUAGGUUUCCUUGGUGAUUAAUGAUGUUGAACAUGUUUUCAUGUACUUACUUGUAGUUUUCAAUGUCUAUUUUUGAAUUCAGCUUUUUGUUUAGUUAUAAGAUUAUGUUUAUAUAGAAAUGUUGAUGACCUGGUGGGAAAAGCUCAUGAUUUAUCAUCAAAUACUUACAGGCAUUCUGUUACUACAGAAACUUGUUUAGGUAACAGGUCAAAGAAGAACAAAAUACAUACAGAUCUCUUUUCUUGUCACAUGUACUCCAACAAGCAGACAGUAAGAACUGCCGAAUCUUACUCCAAAUGAGAAGUGGAGUUUAGGUGCUGUACCACAACCUCUAGGUAACUGAAGACUCUACAUUAAGUUCAGUGGCUAGGUGGGGUUUCUGAGAAGGCUCUCCUUGAACAGAAAGUACACUCCAAGUGUGUGAAAAUAUAAGAGGUGAGUAUUUCAGGCAGCGAGCCAUGCUGAUGAGUAAUGACCCAGAGGGAAGCCUAGAAUCGCAAGUUGGGGGCAGUAUGCAGGGUUGAUCUUAAUAAGGCCACUAUGACUCUUUCAGCACAAAAUCAGCAUUAGAAACUUUUGAAUGCUUUCCUUAAGUGUGCAAGCAUUUAAUUGAAUCUUAACUUUACUCCCAGACUUCACUUGAAUCCUAAAUAGAUGCUAAGAUAUUAAGGAUGUAGUCUAUCUUUGGCAGUUUACCAGAACACAAUCCUCCUGGUCCUGGGGCAUCUACUAAACACGUCUUAUGUAUAUCUAAAAAGGAGCCAAAUGAGUGGUGAAACAUAGGUCAGGGAGGAAUGGAUUGUUUUCCUUUCCCACAUAGUAAAUUUAUUUUCCCAGAAGAAUGCUUAAAUGAAGUGGAAACUUCUAGUUCUUUGGAAAGUUAGUUAUGCUAAAUUAUGUUUGGCUGGGGCACACAGGUGAAAGGCUGUUUUGCUAAAGCAAACACAUGAAAGACUAUUUUCCUGAGGCAGACACAGGUGAAAGGAUGUUUGGAUAUAGCAAAUACAUUAAAGGACACUUGAUGAAGAAGUAUUAAUAUGAACCCCCAUGGACAGCGGGAAAUGAGCACUGAGCCUUGGUUUGCUCUGACUCGCUAUUCUCUGCGAUGUGACAUGCAUGUAUUGGUUCACCUUACAUAGCAUUGUUGAGCUUAACUUGUGAUAACUCUGACACUGAGAGAAACUCGCCGAAGAACUGUUAAGUGACGUUCCUGUGACAGCUUGCUGCUUCUGUGGCCUUGCUCCAGGGUGGUUGAACUACAGCUGCCAGGUGUCUGCGUGCUGAAAGGAAUGGACUGCGGCUGCUGGUUCAUCCCUGGUGUCUGCCUGUCUAGAGGACCGGUCUGCAGCUGCUGAGUCGUAUUUGGUGUUUGCUAUGGGACUGAACUGCUGCCAAAGAAGAUCAAGCUCACCCCCAAAGAACUAUUGCUGAACAGGUCCACUUUCCCCCACAUUCUAAUGACUUUUCUCUUCCACUACCUCUGCUGGGUGGUGGGCUAGAAGAGAGGUUGAAUCCUUAUUAAAAGUAGGUUGUAAAAAAUGUAUGCCUACACUUAAGGCCUAUGGUAGCAUGUAAUAGCAGUGGUUUGUACUCCCACUGCUGGUAAAACAAGUAACACUUUUCCUCUAGGCUAAUGCAUGUGUGUGUGCUCAUGUUUGAAAGCCAGCCAGCCUGCCUCCCAGGACUGUUCUGAAGGUGUUCCACACAGAAAGACAGUAAGAGGAAAUACAUUAUCUGCUUCUUUGCAUCCAUGAGUUCUGUAUUUCUUGUCAGCUAACUAUGAAUGGGAAAAUUCAGGAAAAACAAAAAUCUAUCUGCACUGACUAUGAACAGAUUUUUAUCCCUUCUCAUUGUUCCUUAAGUAAUAUAGCCUAACAGCUAUUUAUAAACCACUUAACAUUAUAUAUAGGCAUCAUAAAUAAUUCACAGGACUUAAAUCCACAGAAGGUUUUGCAUGGGUUAUAUGCAAAAUUCUAUGGAACUUGAAAUAUUCCUGGAUUUUAGUAUUUUGGGGAGUAGAGAGGUUUGUGAGUGUGUUUUCCUGGAACCAGUUAAGGAAAGAUCACAGAAGCUAUGGUAUAAAAUCUUGGGGCACAGUUCCAAGAAAAUAAUUAGAAAUUCUAAUGCCCUUGGCCAGAAAAAUUUGUAGUGUGGAAAUCUUCAAUGAUUCUUAAAAAAAAAAAAAAAAAAGGCAUUGAAGAGAUACUAUUUGGACAUUCAAGACAUGGAACUCCAGCAAGCAAGAUCUUUUAUGCAACACUUCUCUUUCCUUUUGGCACUCACUCCUUACAACAUAGCCCAUAGAAAUUCAAGCAGCAGCAAAGGACACAAACCAAGUAAUAAAAUAAGCCAUACCCCACCUGUCCCAGUGCAGCCACUGUGCUGUAGAUCAAGAGGAGCUGCGAGGUAAGUGGAAACUAGAAUCAAGGCCUCAGUUUUGAUGGGAACUAGCCUAUUUUUUUUUAAUUCCUAAAAAUGAAUUUGCUUAACAAAAUUACAAAUUAUGAAAAUGAAAGUAACUAGAAAGUUAUUGACUCUUCUAGAUGCCUGAAAGCAAAGAAGGGAAAAGGAACACAGAGCACCAGUGGCUUGAUAAAAACCCAGUCUGUCCUCCCUGAGAUCAAUCAUUCAACAAAGCAGUUUUUACUAGCUGCCAGAAAUACCAUGGGUCAGAACACUAGGAAGUAAACCUUAUCUGUGUACUCAAAUGAAGUGAGAGUAGCCAGAUAUUCCUCCAAAGCUUUUAUAGUGCUCAGUUAAUGACAGAAGCUUAAAUCACUGGAUCCAAGUUUGCUGAAAACAGCUGCAGUGUUUCAAAGUAUCUCUGAACAGGUUGCUUAAGUGUAAACUACAGAUUUGCAGGGGAAAAAAAAAAAAAACACUACCAAAUGCCAUAGUCAAUGACUAACAUUAGUAUCAAUAAUAGGACACAGAGACAAGAUGCAACUCUCCUGAUGCAUAUUUGAAGGGUAAGAAACUGAUUUAUAUAUUUACAAUAAUGCAGAGCUGUACUUAAAGAGGAAACAGGCAAAUUCAAAGGAAGAGAAUGGCACAACAAAUUGGAAAAACGGAUCGAAUUAUAUGCUGUUUAUGAAGGAAUCUUACACUUAAAGAGACUGGUAUGUUGGGAGUAAAGGAUGGAAAGACAUCCCUGUAAGCAGUGACCCAGACACAGCUGCAAACUCACAUCAGAGCAGACCAACAGGGAGACGAAAGGUAUCGUAGAAACAAUGAAGAAUAAUUACAACGACAAAAGGGUCAAUUCGUUAGAAGUAAGAUGCUUACUUACAUCUAAGCACCUAACAGUAGAAUCUCCAAAUACAUGAAACAAAACAGAAAUG